rnacentral:tRNA from 1 species
UGAUCUGUGACUAAGUUGACUAAAGCGCCGAACUAGCGAUACGGAGUUGUGGGUUCCAAUCCCACCGAAACAA